UCCCAGUUCGGAUUGUAGUCUGCAACCCGACUACAUGAAGCCGGAAUCGCUAGUAAUCGCGGAUCAGAAUGCCGCGGUGAAUACGUUCCCGGGUCUUGUACACACCGCCCGUCACACCAUGGGAGUCGGAAAUGCCCGAAGCCGGUGACCCAACCCGAAAGGGAGGGAGCCGUCGAAGGCAGGUCGGAUGACUGGGGUGAAGUCGUAACAAGGUAAC
rnacentral:rRNA from 1 species